rnacentral:rRNA from 1 species
CAGUAGCCGCGGUAAUACGAAGGGGGCUAGCGUUGUUCGGAAUUACUGGGCGUAAAGCGCACGUAGGCGGAUAUUUAAGUCAGGGGUGAAAUCCCAGAGCUCAACUCUGGAACUGCCUUUGAUACUGGGUAUCUUGAGUAUGGAAGAGGUAAGUGGAAUUCCGAGUGUAGAGGUGAAAUUCGUAGAUAUUCGGAGGAACACCAGUGGCGAAGGCGGCUUACUGGUCCAUUACUGACGCUGAGGUGCGAAAGCGUGGGGAGCAAACAGGAUUAGAUACCCCAGUAGUCCCUGUCUCUUAUAC